GUCCUCCAGGGCCUGUCCGGGGUCCUCGCAGUUUAGAAACUGAGGCCUCGACUCCAGGGAAGGAAGGGGAUUGCAGGGUAAUGAGCAGAUACGAAUGCCAGACCCUGCGCCAAACACCUGACGAGCCCGGUCCCAUUUAAUCCUCACAAGCGCCGAGCGACCGAGGGUGGGCCAGCUGUUGUCUAGAGAUGUCGAACCCUCAGGAGCCUGGAUUCCUGACCCGGAUCCCCAAUUUUCCCCGCCCACCGCUGUCGGGGGUCUCCAAGGAGAGAUGCGAAAGUUGGGGGCUGAGCUGGAAACUUCCCCGGCGCGGAUUACUAUAAUUUCUUCUGUUAAAAGAUGCACAGUGGCCAAGGGUUCCUGGAACACUCAUUCAUUUCACAGAUGUUUAUUGUGCCCGAGGGGCCGUGGGAGGUGCUAGGGACAAUGCUGUGACAAUCGCUGCCUGUUCCUGAGCUGCUCAGGAUGAGAGCAGAAGUUGCUGACACUAAAACAAGCCCCCAAGCCAGGUGCUACACGCAACAGAGCAGUGUGACUACGGGGGGCCUCGCUGAGGAGGGGACGUAGGGGACAUUUGUAUGGAAUAAAGGACAUCCAAGCCAAGGGACCAGCAAGUGUGAAGUCUCCCAAUCAGUGACAUGCGUAGGAUUUCGAGGCUGUGACCAUCCUUCAUGCCAGGAAAGGCACUGGCAUGAUUUGUCUUGAUAAAGGACAUCUCUGCUUUUAAACUGAAUUCGCACA